UACGUAGGGUGCGAGCGUUAAUCGGAAUUACUGGGCGUAAAGCGUGCGCAGGCGGUUUUGUAAGCCAGAUGUGAAAUCCCCGGGCUUAACCUGGGAAUGGCAUUUGGGACUGCAAGGCUUGAGUGCGGCAGAGGAGACUGGAAUUCCUGGUGUAGCAGUGAAAUGCGUAGAUAUCAGGAGGAACACCGAUGGCGAAGGCAGGUCUCUGGGCUGACACUGAGACACGAAGGCCAGGGGAGCAAACGGG
rnacentral:rRNA from 1 species